rnacentral:rRNA from 1 species
GUGUCAGCCGCCGCGGUAAUACGUAGGGUGCAAGCGUUGUCCGGAAUUAUUGGGCGUAAAGAGCUCGUAGGCGGUCUGUCGCGUCGGCUGUGAAAACUCGGGGCUCAACUCCGAGCCUGCAGUCGAUACGGGCAGACUAGAGUGCUGUAGGGGAGACUGGAAUUCCUGGUGUAGCGGUGAAAUGCGCAGAUAUCAGGAGGAACACCGGUGGCGAAGGCGGGUCUCUGGGCAGUAACUGACGCUGAGGAGCGAAAGCGUGGGGAGCGAACAGGAUUAGAUACCCGGGUAGUCC